UUGCACCUGUUUAAACAGAGUUCAGAGAAAGACUGGUCAGGUGGCCACUUUCUGGCAAAGGAAGGAAAGACUGGAGGGAAAAAGUGCUCACUCUGGAAGCCGUAUGAGAGAUGCAGCUGGGAUACAGAAAACAAUAGAGUGAUACAGCAGGAGUCUGAGGGAAAUCCUGCCAGAAGCUACAUGAGAGCCCCAACGUGACCUCUGGUAACAGACUUGGGUUUUCACUGUCCGUAAGACAUAACAUUAAAAGCAAAAUCUCAUCUAUUCUGAAGGGAUGGAUGAUGGUUCUUUACAGAUGAUUGUUUAAUAUAGGCUUAAUAUCCAGCUCACUCUCAUGUCUGACACUAAAUAAAAACUCAACUGGAACAAAGGAAAAAAGUAUGACUAACACAGUUUUAAGAUUUUGAUAAAAACAUUUCUCAUUUUACUCUGAAAAUAGUUUAUUAAGGGGUGUUGAUUAAUGGGCAUUAACCAGAAAGAAUUUUAAAGCAUUGAGAUAUGCUCCAGUCUUCAAAACGCCUUCUCCCCCACUCACUGACUUUAAAUAUGCAUCUUCAAAAUUCAUUCCAUUUGUGCAGAUUGUGCAAAGAAGAGUUUUUCUCCCAAAUGUCCACUGGCACACUUUGCUUUCAUCAUCUAAUAUUCCUGUUUCCUCCCUUCAGGUAACGGUGACUUCCCUUCAGUCUCCAGCUGAACCUUCCCUGUCUCUGAAGGCUCUGCUUUGAAGAUGGUGGUAUAAAAGGAUCCUGAACUCCGAUAAACACACCAGAUCUACAGUUGCUAUGGAAAAACUUUCUCUGAAAACUGGCUGAGUGAAUAUUACACAUUGGACGAACAAGAAAAGGCCACGUGGAAACAGGGCCUGGGUUUUUGGACUUGAUCAUUUUCCUCCCAUGGCCAGAGUGAGCGACCUGUAAACUGCCAGGAAGGAAAUUGACAGAACUUUCAUAGAACCAAAGACUGACAGAAACAAAGUAAAUAAUGAUGAAACUGAGCAAUAGAUCACCCAGAAGGAGUGUCCCCUGCCAAAACGAAUUGGCAUUUCACCCUCUUGAGAAACAAAUGGACACUCUGUCUCCACAGAAGGCCAGGGUCCAUGUGUCAGCAUCACUUACUUUUUUAUCCUUUCGCCUAAGGAAGCCGCUUCA